GACGAACGCUGGCGGCGUGCUUAACACAUGCAAGUCGAACGGAAAGGCCCUGCUUUUGUGGGGUGCUCGAGUGGCGAACGGGUGAGUAACACGUGAGUAACCUGCCCUUGACUUUGGGAUAACUUCAGGAAACUGGGGCUAAUACCGGAUAGGAGCUCCUGCUGCAUGGUGGGGGUUGGAAAGUUUCGGCGGUUGGGGAUGGACUCGCGGCCUAUCAGCUUGUUGGGGGGGUAGUGGCUUACCAAGGCUUUGACGGGUAGCCGGCCUGAGAGGGUGACCGGCCACAUUGGGACUGAGAUACGGCCCAGACGCCUACGGGAGGCAGCAGGGGGGAAUAUUGCACAAUGGGCGGAAGCCUGAUGCAGCAACGCCGCGUGCGGGAUGACGGCCUUCGGGUUGUAAACCGCUUUCGCCUGUGACGAAGCGUGAGUGACGGUAAUGGGUAAAGAAGCACCGGCUAACUACGUG
rnacentral:rRNA from 1 species